rnacentral:rRNA from 1 species
ACGCGUGGGUAAUCUACCUUAGAAUUUGGGACAACCCUGCGAAAGUGGGGCUAAUACCGGAUAACAUCAUGGAUACUUUGGUGUCUAUGAUCAAAGAUGGUCACUAUAUAUAAACUAUCGUUUUAGGAUGAGCCCGCGUACCAUUAGCUUGUUGGUAGGGUAACGGCCUACCAAGGCGACGAUGGUUAGCUGGUCUGAGAGGAUGAUCAGCCACACUGGAACUGACACACGGUCCAGACUCCUACGGGAGGCAGCAGUGAGGAAUUUUGCGCAAUGGGGGCAACCCUGACGCAGCAACGCCGCGUGAGUGAUGAAGGCUUUAGGGUCGUAAAGCUCUGUCAAGUGGGAAGAACCUGUCAUAGAUUAAUACCUGUGGCACUGACGGUACCACUGAAGGAAGCACCGGCUAACUCCGUGCCAGCAGCCGCGGUAAUACGGGGGGUGCAAGCGUUAUUCGGAAUUAUUGGGCGUAAAGGGCGCGUAGGCGGCCUUACAAGUCAGCUGUGAAAGCCCGGGGCUCAACCCCGGAAGUGCAGUUGAAACUGUAAGGCUUGAGUAUGGGAGAGGGAAGUGGAAUUCCUGGUGNAGCGGUGAAAUGCGUAGAUAUCAGGAGGA